ensembl:snRNA U1 U1 spliceosomal RNA
AUACUGACUUGGCAGGGGAGAUACCAUGAUCACGAAGGCGGUUUUCCCAGGGCGAGGCUUAUCCAUCGCACUUCGAGGUGCUGCCAUUUCCUCAAGUGAGGGAAACUCGACUGCAUAAUUUGUGGUAGUGCGGGACUGCAUUUGAACUCUCCCCUG